ensembl:snRNA U6 U6 spliceosomal RNA
GUGCUGGCUUUAGCAGGACAUAUGCUAAAAUUGGAAUAGUAGGCAUUAGCCUGGCCCCUGAACAUGGGUGACAGGCCAGUGUGUGAAAGACUCCAUGUAUUU